rnacentral:rRNA from 1 species
GCAGACUCCUACGGGAGGCAGCAGUGGGGAAUAUUGCACAAUGGGGGGAACCCUGAUGCAGCGACGCCGCGUGGGUGAAGGAGUAUUUCGGUAUGUAAAGCCCUAUCAGCAGGGAAGAACAAUGACGGUACCUGACUAAGAAGCACCGGCUAAAUACGUGCCAGCAGCCGCGGUAAUACGUAUGGUGCAAGCGUUAUCCGGAUUUACUGGGUGUAAAGGGAGCGUAGACGGCAGUGCAAGUCCGGAGUGAAAGCCCGGGGCUCAACCCUGGGACUGCUCUGGAAACUGUAAAGCUGGAGUGCGGGAGGGGCAGGCGGAAUUCCUGGUGUAGCGGUGAAAUGCGUAGAUAUCAGGAGGAACACCGGCGGCGAAGGCGGCCUGCUGGACCGUAACUGACGUUGAGGCUCGAAAGCGUGGGGAGCAAACAGGAUUAGAUACCCGAGUA